CGGGGUGUGGCUCAGUUUGGUCUAGAGCGCUUGCUUGGGGUGCAAGAGAUCGGUGGUUCGAAUCCACUCACCCCGA
rnacentral:tRNA from 1 species